GGGCACUCAGGGCUGGUGCCUGGAGGAUGGACCCAGCUCUGAACCGACCGCACGGCUCCUGGGAUGGGGAGCUUUGUUGCAGAAGAGAAAGUUGGUACAGUCCUGGGUUUGGUCCCUUGACAUGCAAGAAACAGCACUUAAUGCAUGACCAGUCUGGUUUCUCAGGGCCUGCCUGAACAAGUUAGAGCUGGAGAAGGAGGAAGGCCGGAGACAGUCUGCAAACCCACUGAUGGACGCGUUGCUCAGACCCCAGCCAGCCCUGCGAGCGCUCGAAUUGCUUGGCUGCAACACCUACAGCCACAUCCAGAACCUGUGUAAAUGCUCAGCUCUUUUCACCUUAAUUUGUCAUUUUGUCUGAGUGGUUUCUGAUGUCCAGCAGCUUAUUGCCUACAACUUCAAACAACGAAGCAUAGAAUCAUUGACUCAGCAAGGCUGGAAAAGACCUCCAAGAUCAUCCAGUCCAACCGUCUGCCUAAU